UGCAUGUCUCAGUGCAACUAAACUAAGGUGAAACCGCAAAUGGCUCAUUAAAUCAGUUAUGGUUCAUUAGAUGAUACACCACAUUACUUGGAUAACUGUGGUAAUUCUAGAGCUAAUACAUGCAAACAGAGUUCCCACCGGAGACGGUAGGAACGCUUUUAUUAGAUCAAAACCAAUACGUUCGUUCUGCGGACGCUACCAUUGGUGACUCUGAAUAACUUUUUGAUGAUCGCAUGGUCCUUGUACCGGCGACAAGUCUUUCAAAUGUCUGCCUUAUCAACUGUCGAUGGUAGGCUCUGCGCCUACCAUGGUUGUAACGGGUGACGGGGAAUCAGGGUUCGAUUCCGGAGAGGGAGCCUGAGAAACGGCUACCACAUCCAAGGAAGGCAGCAGGCGCGCAAAUUACCCACUCCCGGCACGGGGAGGUAGUGACGAAAAAUAACGAUACGGGACUCAUCCGAGGCCCCGUAAUCGGAAUGAGUACACUUUAAAUACUUUAACAAGUAUCCAUUGGAGGGCAAGUCUGGUGCCAGCAGCCGCGGUAAUUCCAGCUCCAAUAGCGUAUAUUAAAGUUGUUGCGGUUAAAAAGCUCGUAGUUGGGACUGUGUCCCGCACUGUCGGUGCGCCAUUUAUGGUGUUUACUGACAUGCUGCGGGACGUC
rnacentral:rRNA from 1 species